rnacentral:rRNA from 1 species
AAUCAACGCUGGCGGCGUGCCUAACACAUGCAAGUCGAACGCGAAAGGGGCUUCGGCCCUGAGUAGAGUGGCGAACGGGUGAGUAACACGUGGGUGAUCUACCUCUGAGUGGGGGAUAACGUUCCGAAAGGAACGCUAAUACCGCAUGACGUUCCGGGUUUGAAGACCGGGAAACCAAAGUCGGGGACCGCAAGGCCUGACGCUUGGAGAGGAGCCCGCGCCUGAUUAGCUAGUUGGUGAGGUAACGGCNCACCAAGGCAACGAUCAGUAGCCGGCCUGAGAGGGCGGACGGCCACACUGGGACUGAGACACGGCCCAGACUCCUACGGGAGGCAGCAGUGGGGAAUUGUUCGCAAUGGGCGCAAGCCUGACGACGCAACGCCGCGUGGAGGAUGAAGGUCUUCGGAUUGUAAACUCCUGUUGACCGGGACGAAUGAGCGACGACCUAACACGUCGGAGCAGUGACGGUACCGGUUGAGGAAGCCACGGCUAAC